GGUUUGGCUCAGCGGCAUAAGCGCCUGCCUUGAAAGCAGGCAGUUGUGAGUUCGAUUCUCGGUACCG
rnacentral:tRNA from 1 species